GUUGCUACUGCUGCUGGAAAGGCAGUUCCAGGCGCGGCCACCUCUGCGGGCCCGGCUGGAGAGCCCCGGCGUUGGCGUAUCUGGGAACCGACGUCCGCGCGCCGCUGGCUGGAAUGCGCCCGGCUCGCCUCCGCGGCGCUGUGAGUCCCCGAGAGGAGGCUGGCGGUCUCUGGGCGUUCUUCCUCGCACCCAGGCCCUUCGCUGUCCUUGUCGAGAUUGAUUUCUCUUGCCUACCCGCGCUCGCCCACCCUGAUCCGGGCUGGGAGUGGUCCCUCAGCAAAGCCAGACGGAUAUUUAGCAGUGAUACCGGCAGGCGCCUGGUCCCCGGCUCAGAAUCUGUCAGCCUCAAACAUUCAUCGACAACCUACGAUGGCCUGGCACAGAGCUGAGAACCUCCAGGGGUGUCAGAGACGAACCAGAACACCUUCCAGGGAGGCCUUCACCUUGACCCCAUAUUCGAGCUUUCACCUUGACCCCACAUUCAGAGAGCUCUCAAAUGCCUUACGGUGACUUCCAGUCUGGGCUUGCAGUGUGAUUAUAGAAACCCGACGCACAGGUUUGUUGGAAAACAGUAGAGCUGAGGCCCAGAAGUCACUCACUACGAGAUAGUUGUGCUGCACUGUGGAUUACGCUUGUAUUCCCAGCACCCGUGACGGUCACUCACACGCGUCUUCAGCCACCGUGUGUCCAGCUGAAUUCAGUUCAUGCUCCGUACGGCCCUAAAUCAGAGAACACAGUAGAGACCCAGCCGGGCCCUGAGUGACACAGGUUGCAGCCUUCUCCCUGCCCGUGCCCCUCAUCCGAGCACUCCACCCCCCAGCCCUCGCUGCGGACCUCACCCGUGAGUGGAAGGGCAGUGACGCCAGCUGCCCCUGAUCUGAAAUGCGCUUGCAAGUUUUGACACCCUUAGACGUCCGAACAAUGCACAGCUGUCCUUGCUGCCAGUGUGCCGGGCAGUGGAGCCCCUACCGCAACGCGCAUCAGCCUCUGACUCACCUUUAGUCAUCUCUGACCCUCAUUUCUUUGCAAAGAGGUGACGGUCAUGCCCAACUCUGGGAAUGGUUGGGACAUAACUGAGACCAUACCUGAGGCGCACCUGGCAUGGGGCCACCCCCUGCGCCCUUCCCUUCUCUUCCCUUGGACGAUCAUUACCUGGCCCCAGGGCUUUACUCCCCUGACCCUAUUCAAAACUAACCUUAGACGACUCGCUGCUCAGCCCGGGGCUUGAGGUUCCUCCACGACCACCUGCUUCCCUUUGGUCCUUGCACCCCCCACUCCCAUCCUUCCCCCCCCCCCCCCCGGCUCCAGCCCGUGGGGGAGGGAGAUCAUCCCCCACAUCCGGCUCACCCCUUUCUCGAGACCUUUGCCCGGAGUGCCUGAAAGCAACAUGCCAGCAUCUUCCUGCCCGUCGACAGCUCCCCUUCCAUCAAGGCCAAUCGAGGCCCAGUCCCAGCUCCCCGGGCCUCAACGGAUGCUUUCUGCUCUGGCAUAGCCCUGUUUUUCCCUCGGAUAGAGCGCUCGCCAUACUGGGCCAUAUGUCACUUAUUAGCUGGGGCGAAGUUGCUUAAGCUCUCUGUGACUCAGUCUCUCUGUCUGCACUGGAGCUAAUAACUGCACUCUAACCCUAGAGUCGUUGCGGAGAGUAGAUAAGAACGUGCACAGGGCCCGCCGCAGAGUAAAUAGGCCAAUAAAUGUUAUUUUUUUUUUAUUGAGAUGGUUGGGGGGGGUGACGACAGGGCUCCCAACGGCCCUGACUCUCAGAGAAGGCAAGCCCAGACCGCCCCCCUCUCUCUCCACCCUGCCCAUAGCUCCUACGACACUGCUCUGCUGGGAGUGGAGGUCAGUGAUAUGCCUCAGAUUGAAGCUUCUCUGGCCCAUCAAACAAAUCGCAGUGAUCCUUUGUGGGUUCCCUUCGGCUCCAUUCACUGCGGUGCGUGGACGUUUCUGUGCCCGGGAAAUGGACCCCCAAGAGCUGGUGGAGGAGGAGCCUGUGAGGUCAGUCCUGUAAUCUGCUUUUCCAGAAGGAAGCAAAGGCCCGGACUGACAAAGCGACAUGCCCAAGGUCACACCAUUCCAGAGGGGAGCAGGAUUCUAGUCCUGAUCUGCCGGGCUCUGAGGGGAGGGCCGGGCCGAGGAUGGUGGGAGAAUUCCAGACUCUGGCCAGCUGCCCCUGCAUCCAGGGAGGCUGUGGGUGGGGUGGAAACAGCCACCAGAAGCCAGGGGCACGCGGCAAACAAGGGUACCAGGAAAUGAACCGGACCCAGGGUCCUUCCUCCCGGCCCGCCCUGUGCCCCUGGCCAACUGCCACCUCCCUUUGAGGCUUCUCCCUGCAAGAGAACAGAGAGAGCUGGGCCGGAGCCCAGGGAUGGCCCUAUACGGGGGGAGGGGGGGGGGGACCAGGAGGGUCUUGAAGCCCAGGAGGAGCCCUGCCAGGCCUAAGCGCCCCCUGUCCUGGGAAGAGAGAUAGAGAUCCCAGGGGUCUCAUCCUGUUUGUCUCAGAUGGAGCUCAGACUGGGGCCUCGCACAGAGAAGGCGCUCAAUAAAUGUGCGUCGAAAGGAGGUACAGCAGGUGUGCCGUCCAAACUGCGAGGCUGGAGGUGAAGAGGCCGGGUCCGGACACGGUUUCUGCCCCCGCCUCGUGACCCUGGACGAGCCUCAGAACGUCCCUAUCCGUCAGAUCAAGUUGUUAUCCUGGAAUGUGCACCAUCGCUUGGGUCCCUUCCAGCUCUGACAAUGCAGUUCUAUUCAUUCUUUUACUCACUCGCUAAUUUGUUGUCUCAGCGAAAUACAUCGUAGAGUCCGAGAAAUAUACUUUGGUACUAAUGAGGCAGUGGGCAGAGUGGCGGCAAUCGGCAAAGCUUGUGGGGGUGGAUAGUGACGGGUCCCCCUCUUGAGCAGGGACUCUGGGGUCAGAUGGCCUGGGUUCAGAUUCUCCCUCCAUGACCUGCUCACUGAGUAACCCUGGGCAAGUUACUUACUCACGUUGAACUUGGACUUCCUCAUCUGUAAGAUGGAGAUGAUAGGAGGAUAUACCUCAUAGGGUUAUUGUAAAAAUUAAAUGGGAUAAUACAAAUAAGUUGCUUAGGGAAAUAGUACACAGCAGGCGCCCAACAAGUCUUAGCUCUUCCCGUUCCUUAGAAGGCGAGCGAACUCCAGCAGACAAAGGGGGCUGCUAUGUGGGUGCAGGGGUAGGGGUGGGGGAAAGCAUCAGCACAGCGUGUGCUUAGAUACAGAGGCGGGAAAAUCCAGUACUGCCAAGGAGCACCAAGAGACCCGUCCAGACUAAGUGGGAAGAGGUAAGUUGGGCGCAGAUGGUGAGCGGCUUUGGUCAGGCUAAGAAACUUGGAUCUGAUCCUGUAGGUUGGCAUUUCCCAACUGCUGCUCCCCAGAAUUCCAUGAGCUGGUACUGGAUGUUUUAUAAAUAUUUCAGGGCACCCAGGUGGCUCAGUCAAUUAAGCGUCCGACUCCGGCUCAGGUCAUGAUCUCGUGGUACGCGAGUUCGAGCCCCGCGGUGGACUCUGGGCU